rnacentral:rRNA from 1 species
CGUAGGCGGUUUGGUAAGUGGGAUGUAGAAAGCCCUGGGCUUAACCUGGGAACUGCAUUCCAAACUGUCAGACUAGAGUAUGGUAGAGGGUGGUAGAAUUUCCUGUGUAGCGGUGAAAUGCGUAGAUAUAGGAGGGAAUACCGAUGGCGAAGGCAGCCACCUGGACCAAUACUGACGCUGAGGUGCGAAAGCGUGGGGAGCAAACA